ACAAACUCUAUAAAGUAUUAGAAUGUGUAUUGCGAUGUAACGCAUCUAUAUACAACUUUCAGCAACGGAUCUCUUGGCUCUCGCAUCGA
rnacentral:rRNA from 1 species